rnacentral:rRNA from 1 species
AUUGAACGCUGGCGGAAUGCUUUACACAUGCAAGUCGAACGGCAGCACGGACUUCGGUCUGGUGGCGAGUGGCGAACGGGUGAGUAAUGUAUCGGAACGUGCCCAGUCGUGGGGGAUAACGUAGUGAAAAUUACGCUAAUACCGCAUACGAUCUAUGGAUGAAAGCGGGGGAUCGCAAGACCUCGCGCGAUUGGAGCGGCCGAUAUCAGAUUAGGUAGUUGGUGGGGUAAAGGCCCACCAAGCCAACGAUCUGUAGCUGGGCUGGAAGGACGACCAGCCACACUGGAACUGAGACACGGUCCAGACUCCUACGGGAGGCAGCAGUGGGGAAUUUUGGACAAUGGGCGAAAGCCUGAUCCAGCCAUUCCGCGUGCAGGAUGAAGGCCCUCGGGUUGUAAACUGCUUUUGUACAGAACGAAAAGGUUUCUACUAAUACUAGGAGCUCAUGACGGUACUGUAAGAAUAAGCACCGGCUAACUACGUGCCAGCCGCCGCGGUAA